UAUUCAGCGCAGUUCUCUUCCUCUCCUGCUCGUCCCUCCAUUCCCCACCACUGUUCUUGUGUGAUUCGCUCCACCACUGACCAGCAACCACUACAUAUCCUCCUCCUGAUUUGAUCCUCUCAUCCUCCCCCAAAAACCCGUGCAAAGCCCAAAGUAUUUAUAGGUCUACACUUGGGCUCCCGAAUGAAAUACUCCCUCAAUUAGAGAAGGUUAUAAAUCCAAACAUGAUAAAUGUGUUUGGGCAGGGUCUCGUGUUAUGCUUCUUUCAAAAGAAGAAGAAGAGAACGUAAGUAAUAGGCUUUUCCUUGAUUUUUUUUUUUCAAGGGUCAUGUUGGUGUUUGAUUACUGUGUGGGAUUGGUUUUUAGGCUUUUCUUUUGGUUUAAAUGCAGAAAUUAUAAGGUGCCUUUUGUGGGAAUAAUGAAGAUAAUGAGUACAGGAUUUUGAUUUUCCAUCUGUUUAAUUGUUUAUGUCUGUUCACAUUGGUUUAAUUCUUUACUCUCUCUGCAUCUUCACCUUGUUGAUUGAUUAAUAAAAUGAUAUACACAUAAUCAUAUAUAGGAAAAUGAGUUAGCUAGAUUGAAGUGGUACCCUUUUUUGAUUGCCUCUCAGCCAUUCUCAGCCAUACUGCUUUGAGUUUGGGGUUGCUUUUGUGUUGGACUUUUUUUUAUCUCUCUCUCUCUCUCUAUAUAUAUAUAUGUGUGUGUGUGUGUAUCAUUUUAGAAGACCCAAUUUGAAGAAAUUUCCCAAGACAGACAAACUAAACCCCAUUUGAUUCAAACGGCAAUAGCAAUUGAUGAUAAUGUUUAGGGUAUAUUCGUUAAGAAAAAUAGAACAGAGAAGCAUUUGUUUGAAGAGAGGAAUGACGGCCGAAUAGUGUUCGAGUUUGGAAAGUUGAGUCAAGAUUUGAUUGACAAUUAGGGUAUAUGCAUAAUUGUCAUCUGUUCAUCCGUCAUUCUUUCUUCUGCUUUUGGUUUCUCUCUGUUUUAUUUUUCUCCUUUUACACCAUUCUUUUCCCUCUUCAUCCGUCAUUUUCCCACUAUUUCAAGAGUUAAAAUUAAUCUUUCUUCCUCUUAUUUUUCUUUUCUCUUCGUUUUUCAUUGUUCUUUUCUUGUCCAGGCGUCCAAAAAGUCAUAUGUUCUUCAUUUUCUUUCUUCUGCUUUUGCUUUCUCUCUUUGUUUUACUUUUCUCCUUUUACCAUUAUUUUCUCUCUUCAUCCGUCAUUUUCCCACUAUCAAGAGUUGAAACAUUGAGAAUUUCCAUAAUGUCAGCUUUCAUUGGGACUGAAUUGAUCAGUUAACCGACUGUUGAUCAACUGAGAAUUUUAGACGGUCACAAUUGGAACAUCUUAGACUAAUCUAGGUCGGAUUCAAUGUUCAGCAAUAUUUGAACCAAACUAGUAUGAGACAGGCCCUAAUACAGUCAACAUUAUUUGUUGAGUUUGUUUCUUUAUCAAUUUGGAUGUUUGAAACUAUCAAAAUGAAAUUUUGAAUAAACCCUAAUUUGUAUAGGAGUUUGAUUAUUGGAGAUGGGAUGACUAACAAUGCAACUCUAAUAGUGAAGCCGUAUACUCCCCUUCUAGUCAAAGUUCAACAGCAAAUCUUUAUAC